rnacentral:rRNA from 1 species
GAUGAACGCUGACAGAAUGCUUAACACAUGCAAGUCUACUUGAAUUUGGGUUUUUUAACUUCGAUUUGGGUGGCGGACGGGUGAGUAACGCGUAAAGAACUUGCCUCACAGCUAGGGACAACAUUUGGAAACGAAUGCUAAUACCUGAUAUUAUGAUUAUAAGGCAUCUUAGAAUUAUGAAAGCUAUAUGCGCUGUGAGAGAGCUUUGCGUCCCAUUAGCUAGUUGGAGAGGUAACGGCUCACCAAGGCGAUGAUGGGUAGCCGGCCUGAGAGGGUGAACGGCCACAAGGGGACUGAGACACGGCCCUUACUCCUACGGGAGGCAGCAGUGGGGAAUAUUGGACAAUGGACCAAGAGUCUGAUCCAGCAAUUCUGUGUGCACGAUGACGUUUUUCGGAAUGUAAAGUGCUUUCAGUUGGGAAGAAAAAAAUGACGGCACCAACAGAAGAAGUGACGGCUAAAUACGUG